AAUUAUUGUAAUUGAAUCAUAAUUAUACUAACAAAAUCAGUUUUCAUUUUGACUACUCAGAAUCUUCCACUUUGUGCAUCUAGAUAAUAUUUCUGUUACUAAUUUAAAUAGCAUUUUAAUUAUGAAAGAAUGUGCCAAAAAUAUGCCUAGUUCUAAAUGUGCAUCUUGAAAAGUAUGAACUUUGAGUCUUGCACAUCCAUGUGCCUGAAUGAUUUUUGGUACAUAUCAUAACAGAAUUGAGCUUACAUAAAUGAUCGAUAUAAUCAUUAGAUCUAGUCCUAUAUAUUUGAGCUUAUCAUUAUAAAUGCUCAUUUGUCAGAUGUCUAUAUUAAAGGCCAUCCAUGAUAUUUUUCAAACUGACACUCUAAUAUCCAUAAGUGUUAAGUUGGAUCUCUUUUAUAUUUUUACUUAUUUCAGUUAAUCUAAUGUCAAUUUUCAACCUUUCUUAACCAAAAUUGGGAUCAGCUUCGAUGAUACUAACACAUGAGAUGAUGAUCUAUGCAACCAAAUUGGGAUCCCAAUCUUAACCUAUCACUUAGGAAAUCACUAGUAUUGGUGCCUUCUUUUUAGUUGACAUUGCAGCAAAUUGAUGUAUGGCGUAGUUUAUAUUAGCAGUCAUACAUUAAAGUAGCCUGUGCUGUUAAAUUACACUCAUUCUAUCUAGACCACCAAGACAGGCAUUUGUAACCUGCUUUCCCCUUCAUUCCAUUUACAUUUUCAAACAUAUGCCGAUUUGCUCAUCCGCCUACCAUAAAAUGAGUGGAUCCUUUUGCCAGAGAAUAUAUUCCUACAUCAUUGCACCUCAUCUUCCAUGAUCUAGAUUUAUUAGGAAGAUCAACUCUCAUAAAAUGAGAAUUAUUGCCGAUUCCUAUGGCGACGCAC
rnacentral:lncRNA from 1 species